rnacentral:rRNA from 1 species
AUAGAUACCCCGGUAGUCCACGCCGUAAACGAUGAGUGCUAAGUGUUAGAGGGUUUCCGCCCUUUAGUGCUGCAGCAAACGCAUUAAGCACUCCGCCUGGGGAGUACGGCCGCAAGGCUGAAACUCAAAGGAAUUGACGGGGGCCCGCACAAGCGGUGGAGCAUGUGGUUUAAUUCGAAGCAACGCGAAGAACCUUACCAGGUCUUGACAUCCUCUGACAAUCCUAGAGAUAGGACUUUCCCCUUCGGGGGACAGAGUGACAGGUGGUGCAUGGUUGUCGUCAGCUCGUGUCGUGAGAUGUUGGGUUAAGUCCCGCAACGAGCGCAACCCUUGAUCUUAGUUGCCAGCAUUCAGUUGGGCACGUCUAAGGUGACUGCCGGUGACAAACCGGAGGAAGGUGGGGAUGACGUCAAAUCAUCAUGCCCCUUAUGACCUGGGCUACACACGUGCUACAAUGGAUGGUACAAAGGGCUGCAAGACCGCGAGGUUUAGCCAAUCCCGAUAAAACCAUUCUCAGUUCGGAUUGCAGG